GUGAUACUCCCUCCGUCCCAUAUUAAGUUACUUUCUAUUACAUGUAUCUAGACGCUUUUUAGGCAUAGAUACAUCCAUAUCUGGAAAUUUUGAGUCACUUAAUAUGGGACGGAGGGAGUACAAU
rfam:Brachypodium distachyon strain Bd21 chromosome 2, whole genome shotgun sequence.